GGCGGCAGGCCUAACACAUGCAAGUCGAACGGUAACAGGAAGCAGCUUGCUGCUUCGCUGACGAGUGGCGGACGGGUGAGUAAUGUCUGGGAAACUGCCUGAUGGAGGGGGAUAACUACUGGAAACGGUAGCUAAUACCGCAUAACGUCGCAAGACCAAAGAGGGGGACCUUCGGGCCUCUUGCCAUCGGAUGUGCCCAGAUGGGAUUAGCUAGUAGGUGGGGUAACGGCUCACCUAGGCGACGAUCCCUAGCUGGUCUGAGAGGAUGACCAGCCACACUGGAACUGAGACACGGUCCAGACUCCUACGGGAGGCAGCAGUGGGGAAUAUUGCACAAUGGGCGCAAGCCUGAUGCAGCCAUGCCGCGUGUAUGAAGAAGGCCUUCGGGUUGUAAAGUACUUUCAGCGGGGAGGAAGGCGGUGAGGUUAAUAACCUUGUCGAUUGACGUUACCCGCAGAAGAAGCACCGGCUAACUCCGUGCCAGCAGCCGCGGUAAUACGGAGGGUGCAAGCGUUAAUCGGAAUUACUGGGCGUAAAGCGCACGCAGGCGGUCUGUCAAGUCGGAUGUGAAAUCCCCGGGCUCAACCUGGGAACUGCAUUCGAAACUGGCAGGCUAGAGUCUUGUAGAGGGGGGUAGAAUUCCAGGUGUAGCGGUGAAAUGCGUAGAGAUCAGGAGGAAUACCGGUGGCGAAGGCGGCCCCCUGGACAAAGACUGACGCUCAGGUGCGGAAGCGUGGGGAGCAAACAGGAUUAGAUACCCUGGUAGUCCACGCCGUAAACGAUGUCGAUUGGGAGGUUGUGCCCUUGAGGCGUGGCUUCCGGAGCUAACGCGUUAAAGUCGACCGCCUGAGGAGUACGGCCGCAAGGUUAAAACUCAAAUGAAUUGACGGGGGCCCGCACAAGCGGUGGAGCAUGUGGUUUAAUUCGAUGCAACGCGAAGAACCUUACCUACUCUUGACAUCCAGAGAACUUUCCAGAGAUGGAUUGGUGCCUUCGGGAACUCUGAGACAGGUGCUGCAUGGCUGUCGUCAGCUCGUGUUGUGAAAUGUUGGGUUAAGUCCCGCAACGAGCGCAACCCUUAUCCUUUGUUGCCAGCGGUCCGGCCGGGAACUCAAAGGAGACUGCCAGUGAUAAACUGGAGGAAGGUGGGGAUGACGUCAAGUCAUCAUGGCCCUUACGAGUAGGGCUACACACGUGCUACAAUGGCGCAUACAAAGAGAAGCGACCUCGCGAGAGCAAGCGGACCUCAUAAAGUGCGUCGUAGUCCGGAUUGGAGUCUGCAACUCGACUCCAUGAAGUCGGAAUCGCUAGUAAUCGUGGAUCAGAAUGCCACGGUGAAUACGUUCCCGGGCCUUGUACACACCGCCCGUCACACCAUGGGAGUGGGUUGCAAAAGAAGUAGGUAGCUUAACCUUCGGGAGGGCGCUUACCACUUUGUGAUUCAUGACUGGGGUG
rnacentral:rRNA from 1 species